CUUCUUGCUCCAACAGGGAGUAACCUUGAACGCCAUGGGAAAGAGGGUACUGUGUUUGCAGGAUGAAAUUAUGACCAUUCAUGGAAGAAGUAGAUUCCCUAGUCUAAGUAUUUGGCAGAAAUUUUGAGAAGAUAGCAUGGGAUGCUACAGGGGAGCGUUUGGCUGUGUCAUAUAAAAAUGGAAACGAGGUGUACAAGGGUCUCAUCACCAUAUAUGAUGUUAAAAGGGAUACAAUCAUAACCCCCUCAUUAAUUGGGUUCAUCAUAGGGCCUGGAGAGGACCCGAAGCCUUUCAUUCCAUGACAAGUACAAACAGGGGCCUGUUAUCGGUUGUAUGGAGCACUGGAAGUUGUGUCACCUACCCCCUCCUAAUUCGUUCCCAUCUCCUUGCUUAGCUUAAGCCCAACCCACCUAUUUUCAAUUUUCUUCACUUGUACACUUUCUCUCCGGUUUUAAUCACGGGCAUUUGAUUUGUAGAAUAUUAUUAGAAGGAAUGGAAUCUGUGUCAAAGGAUUUGAUUAUAUAUAUGAUGGGCUAUUUUGGUAUUUUAACAAAUAA